AGGGUGUAAACGCUGCCGACUUGGUGUUGGAGGCCCUUCGGGGGCAUUCAGUGCCGGAGAGAAGUUGUUAAGUCGGCCACUUGGGAGUACGUCCGCAAGGAUGAAACUUAAAGGAAUUGGCGGGGGAGCACCGCAACGGGAGGAGCGUGCGGUUUAAUUGGAUUCAACACCGUAAAACUCACCAGGGAAGACUGUUACAUGAAACCCAGACUAAUGAUCUUGGUUGAUUUUCAGAGAGGAGGUGCAUGGCGUCAGUGACU
rnacentral:rRNA from 1 species